CACGUAGGGCGCAAGCGUUGUCCGGAAUUAUUGGGCGUAAAGAGCUCGUAGGCGGUCUGUUGCGUCUGCUGUGAAAACUCGGGGCUUAACCCCGAGCCUGCAGUGGAUACGGGCAGACUAGAGGUAGGUAGGGGAGAAUGGAAUUCCCGGUGUAGCGGUGAAAUGCGUAGAUAUCGUAAGGAAGACCAGUGGCGAAGGCGGGUCUCUGGACAGUUCCUGACGCUGAGGCACGAAGGUCAGGGGAGCAAACGGG
rnacentral:rRNA from 1 species